rnacentral:lncRNA from 1 species
AACAUCACUCUCUCUUUUUAUUCCUCACAAUAUAACAUCAUCAUCAUAAAAACCAUCAUCUUCUUCACAUAAUAAAACACAACAACUACACCUCUUCUUCAUUUUAUCAUCUACUACAACUUUAAGAUAACACAACCUUCACUUUAAUUCUCUCCAACUCACAUAACCACUAAUCAUCUUCUUCUGUAAACACAAAAACGCAAGUUACUAUUCACGAAAACCACCGCAUCACUUCCAACAACAACCGUUACUCCAUCCGUUUUGUUUUCAUCCUCAAAGCAACACACCAAAAAAAAAAACACCACAACACCGUCAGAAAGCCAUUGCUCCAACCUCCCAUACUCUCCAAAACCACUGUAUUUUCUUCCGACCGUGAAAAAUACGACGAACACCAUUUCAAGCCCUCUCUCCGUCCGAUCUAAAUGCAUAGGUUAUAUCUUUAUACUUUUCCUUUUAUUUCAUGGUUUAUUGCUUGUUUGUGUUUCUUAUUUUGCUGUUAAAGGAGCUUAAACAUAAAGAAUAAAAGUGAUUGUUGAAAGAGUUUUCUGUUCUAAAAAAACCUAAGCCAUAUGGAAAUAAAAAAUGUUACAUUGCUUUUACUGCUUUUGAAAAGUCAUUGAAAUGUUAGAUCAUUAUUAGAAUUUUUGUUUCUUCUUAUUAUAACAUGAGAUUUAAGAGAGAGAAAGAAUUAAUGAAGAGCAUUGAUUUUUCUUUUUUUAAUCUUUUCUCAUACUGCAUAUUUGGAGAAGAAGAGAGACUUUAGUCUUUUGUUGUUUAUGACCUUCUACAUGAGGGACGCUUGUCUUUUUUUUAUUGGCUUUGAUUAUUGGAUUUUUUUCUUAAGAAAAAAUAUCCUCUCUCUGCAUGUGCACCGUCUCUCUCUUUUU